rnacentral:lncRNA from 1 species
UCUCCCUCCUCCUCAUCCUCCUUUCUCUCUCUCUCCCUCUUUUUCUCUCCCUCUCUAUGUCUCCUUUUCCCUCUCCCUUCCUACUGUCUACACGUCUGACAGUGAGGAUAACAAUAUGUGUCUCUCAGAGACUUAAUAAAUGGAAAGUGAUUAGCAUAGUACUUGGGACACGGUCAAAACCCCAGUAAACUUCCACUGUCACCUUUAUCUAAAGAAAAGUGCCACCUGUCUAACUAGAUCAAGUGUGUAAUAUUUCUGAUAUAUGUAUGAGCACUCCAUCACUUACUCACAAAACUCUGGUUUAAAAAAUGGAAAAUUUUAAAUCCUGAGUCAAGCAUUUGUUCUGAUUUGGUUUAUAUCAAGCAUAGUGUCAACAUCUCACCCCUUUACUCCUGGAUGGUUCAAAGUGACCCCAGGAAGGUGCACAGGCUCAGUUUUGGAGGUAGAGACUUUCUUGUGCAUCACAUAGUUUUUCUCCAUGCUCCUGACAAAGAGAUUCACUUUGCUGAGGGAUCAGGCCUAGGGUGACUCACAUCCCGUGGGAUGAGAAGUCAGUUUAGGAAGCCAUGCUGUCUCUUCCUGUCUGCCCCAGGUAUGAAUGGUGUUACUUAGACUCGUUUAAUUGGGCACACCUUGCUCCAGGCAGAGGUCCUGUGUGUGCCUUUCAUGAGUUAAGAGUCUUGGGGCAGUGAAAAGUUAAACCAGCCAUGAGUUAAACUUUCCCCAAGCAAAAGCGGCCAAUAGAGAAUCCACAGCACAUAUGCGGAAGAGUGAUGGUAGCACAGAUAGCCUAAGAAUUAGAAGCUGCCAGAAAGACCACCAGGAAAUGUGGAUAGCUCGUGUGGCGGCUUUGGGUUUAAAUCAGUCUUCUGAGAGUCCUGAACUGUCACCACCAUGUGGCACCACUGAGAGAUGAAUGACAUGUGGCAUCGCCGAGAGAUUAAUGACAAUGUUCCCUGUCAGUCAGAUAGGCUAUCCCGAGCUGUCUCUGAGGAGCCAGCCUGCAGGAUUUGUGAAUCGAACCUAGGUGACUCCUUUUCUAGAAUGCUGACUAGAGGGUUCCAAACACCAGUGCUUUCCUUUACAAUUUAAAAGUAGGCACGGAAUAGCAGCAACAAAAACCCAGUUGCUCUCCAGCCUGCCCCCUUCCAUGACCUUUCAAGCAUUACUCGUUAAAAGAGGACAGGAUGCCUCUGAGGUGUACCUCAGUGGUAGGCUAUUUACCUGGCAUGUGUGAUAUCCUGAGUUUCAUUCCCAGUACUGCAAAAAGUGGACAGUGUGCCUUGUGGGUCAGAUACCAGGCUGUGUUGCUUCUCGGUGCUCAUGUCUACGCCCUACCUGCUUCCUUUCUCUUUUGAGUAUAUGUUUGGUGGUCUACCCCUAGGGGCAGCAUUUUCUCAGAGGCUAUUGCCUCACAGGGUACACACAGUAUACACACUCAGGCACGCUCGGACCCUCCUGGGCUACACACAUUCCGGAACACUGGCUUGCACGCUGUACACUGCCACACACACUCACUCACACACCCAUGUUCCCCUAGACUGCCUUGAGUUCACACCCUCAGCCACUCCCCCACGCACUCUGUGACAUCCGAAGGGCGUGGGAGUUGCCUGGUUUUCAGAGCUGCUUUUAGAACUCCAUGUUAGUUCAAUUGGGUAGACACUAAGUUGUCAUCAGAGUGCUGUUGUGAUAGAGGGACCUGGUCAAGAAUAAACGUCGUCCUCAGAGGAGAAGGUGGGGAGCUGCCGAAAGGGUGGGCCUUUACCCCUCUGCCACAGAACCUGAGGGCAGGAAGCCAGGGUCUCUUCUGUGUCCUGGGAAAUAGCAUUUGUUUUCAGGAAGUGUGAUCUUUUUGAGGAAAGGGUGGAGUUUGGAGGUCACUGUCUGGAGCUUCUGGGGAUUUUGAAAGUGGAGGCAACCACAAUUUACACUGGCUUCAACAGUAAGAGAUGGUUAUUGGCUCACAGAACUGAGUUGUCUACUUCAGACAAAGUUUCAUCAAGAGGUCAACAACGGGCCCUCGACUCCCUUUGCUCUGUACUUCCUUCAGGCGAUCUCUCUGACCAGUUUGUCCUCCUUUAUAACAUCACGGACACUGUAGUUAAGCUGUUCCUAUACAGGGAAGAAAGGGUAAAUAGACCCACCUCCCAGAAUUCUAAGCGAUAGGCUCACAUUCUCUCUGAUGGGUUGCCUUAUGUCCCAGGUCCAUUCACAUGCUAACUGGCGUGUGCUAAACAAGAUUCCUUCCAGAGUGAGGAGUUGAGGAGAGUGGAGACUAAAAAAGGAACACCAGGGUUUGCACAUCAGGAAAGGUGAUAGAUGCCACUGGCAACAGAACCACCCCAUGAGACCCUCGCUGUCUAGAAGGGACCUCCUCAUUAUUUUCCUCUUGUCAUCUUGUCAAAGGCUGAUGACACAGGGUAAACUCCCUGCUUCCUCCUCAUCACAACUUUCCACGGCACACGCAGACACGUAGGGCUCGUGUCCCCAACUCUCUGCUUGAGUUGGUUUUCAUUUUUGUACUUUUUUUUUUUUUUUUUGGAAAUUUAUCUAUAGCCCAGUAGAUUGCCUCUCCAACAUGACAAAAGAAGUUUAGAGUUCUGCCUCCAGAGUAAAGAUCAGUCCAGAAUUCACAAGUAACCUACUCCCAUUUUCCUUUUUCGGCUUCUGCCAGUGAUAGGCCAAAACCAGGUCCCUGUGGUAACAGCUGAUGUAGUGGACUGGUGAUCGCUUGAGUUCUUUACGGAAAGCCCGUCAUUGCCCAAGGGCUGUCUCUCUGAAUCUGCACACGUGUUCUUCACGAAGUCUUAGAGAGGAGGAAAUUUCCUCUGUAUUUCACAGGUGGCAAGCCAGAACCUUGAUGGGGUGAAAUAAUUCCCUUAAGGUUAUGACCCAAGUGGGAUUUUAACCUAGGCUUGCUAGAGCUUGUGGAUGAGCCCUGAGCUUCUCGCUAGUGUCUCUUUGCAGAUGCACACUCAUAGCAGUGCCCCACGGAUAAGAGAGAAGUCAGUCUUCCCAUCCUCUGCCUCUCCUUCUUGGAGUCCUCUUUAUCCAUGGCUCUGUCUUAUUGCCAGAACCUCACACAGCCCCUGGCCUCCCUCUCAGGACAGCUGCCUCUGUUUAUCCAGCUACUCAGACCCGCCUGUGUAGUGUCAUAAACCCUGCUUCUUUGAGAAUUUCAUUUCCCUGUUUUACAUCACUUUUUUUUUCAAAACACAUAUUUCAUUCCAUGAAGCCCUGCCCUAUCUUAACUCUUCAAGUCCCUAAGUGCUGUUGAUUGUGUUGAAUGCAUCCCAAGUGCCAUUGAUUGUAUUCAAUGCAUUGGUUGGUGGAGGCCAUUUGCUUUUCAACAAGAGCCUUGUCUUGCUCAAUAGGGGAAAGUUUCACACAAACAAGUCAAUGCCUUCUGGAGCCCCUUGGCUCUUGAACCACUUCAGGUGAGCACAAUGUCUUGUUUGCACCCGAGGCUUCCAGCAGACCAUUAGCCUAAAGGAACACUAAGUCCCAAUUCUGAGUGGGUCUCUGUUACUUCAAAAGGAAUGUUCCAGAGAUGCCCCAAAUCCCCUUUCCAUACCAAACCAUCCUCCUCAUUCCACUUUCUUGUUUCUUCCAUGUUUUAUCUCCUCUCUCUGUUUCUCAUAAUUAUGUGCAGGGUCAGCCACAGCCUUUAAAUGGUAAAUGAAUGUUAUUAGCAUAUAGCCAUGUUCGCAUAUGAACACAUUGUCUCCAGCUGCUUCCCCGACAUAGUAGUAGACUGCGUCACAGCUGAGACAAUUUCUUUUCUUCUGGAAGGUCCAAACUAUUCUGAGCCUUUGCAGAAAGGUAGUGUGACCCCUGAUCUAGGUCAGUAACUCAGUAGACACCCAUCCACACCCUCUUCCUUCCCCACAUCCUACCAUGGCCAGAAGUAAAAUCCUGAUGUUUCGAAAGAAAAAAAAAAUCAUCUCAUUAAUGUCCACUUGCAAGGCAAAGAGGUAGGUGGCUGUCCCACCUCCACUUGUACCCAGGGUAGAUGCUGCUGGCCUGCCCUAUGCGCCAGCCCUUCUUCUGAGCCAUGCCCGGGCAACUGCUGUUCAGACACUGGCUGCAGCACUGGAGAGGAAAAAUAUUCUCUCUCCCUAGCCCAGGAGACACUAUCAGAUCCGAAAGCCAUGUAAGACAACAAUUAAAUGUAAUGGGUGUCCUUUGGGUUCUCCUGCCUGGGACAGCAUUCUGUGUGAAGUCAAGGCGAUGAAACGAAUUUUCUCUCUGUUUCUUUGGUACAAUACCAUAUAGAGUAUGAGUCAUGUAAUUAGGGACUAUUUUGUAUGAAAAUUCCUCCCUUUAAAAAGUAGGCUCAUUACCAUGCACUGCCUACAACAUGAAAAAGACGUAGAAACUAGGCCCCACUGAGAAUGUUCUAAAAAUUCAGCUAAUACUGACUUUAUUGAAUGGCUAUAUUAGUAAAGCCCCUGACUGUGUUUAUGUUCUUUCUCUCUCGCUAAUUCUUAUGGUCUUUUGUAACCAGGCCCCUGUUGUUGAUUUAUAAGGGGAGUAAUUCUCAACCUCUGGGGAUCACAUAUCAGAUAUCCUGAGUAUCAGAUAUUUAUGUUGCAAUUCAUAGCGGUAGCAAAAUUAUAGUAAUAAAGUAACAGCAAAAUAAUUUUAUGGUUGGGGGUCACCACAACAUGAGGAGCUCUAUUAAAGGGCCACAGCGUUAGGAAAUUUGAGAACCACCAAUAUAGGGUAAAUGCGCAUGUGUGCUUUUUGUACGGUCUGGUCGUCUCUGGGACCUUCAUCUGCCACAAACCAGGCCACACUCACCAUAUUCACCUCGUAGAUAGUUCAGAAAUAACCCCCAAACAACAUGUUCAAACACAAGUGCAGGUACUUGCUCUGAAACCUGCAGUUCUUGGAGAUGGAGAAGAGCUAGUUUGCACAGGCACUCAUUGGCUGCUGUGGGGACCUGCCCCAGGAUGCAUUUGUUGCCAGUAAGCAGCUGAACAAGCUUCCUUUGAGGAGGAGGUGAGAGGGAAGUUGUGAAUGAGGAGGCGGCUUCACUUCACAGUUUCUGGUUUCUUUCUUUUUUUUUCUUUUUUUUUUUUCCCCUCAAGAAGUAAGUAUUUUACCAAGGAGAUGUGGCGAGACUAUUUAUAAAGGACUGGGAGAUUCUCUCCCACUUCCGAGCAUUACCAGUUCCAUGGAGAAGUGGGCGGAGCCAGCAACUCUGGGAAGGUUGGAACCUUGUGCAGUUUGGCAUCCUGACAACCAAGUUGUAAACCGGGUGUGCCAGCUGCAGUCCAGUGUGGGGCUUUCCAAGAACCACUGUUCAUCGAACCUGGAACUGGAGAAGCCGAGCCAGAGAGACUGUGUGUGAACCGUUGGCCAUUUAAAAGCCGUAAACCAAUCUUGGCAAACGCUUUGGCUCUUGGCACCUUUGGCUCUUGGCUCCUUAUGCCCUUUUGUGUUAAAUUUAUGGAAAAUAGGGUAAAAAUGCUCUCCCAGGUGAUGGGGGGCCAGGGACCCUCAAAAUAGUGUUUUAAGCUUCUGGUUUCAUGGGAUCCCACUGAGAUUAAGAAAUUGAUAUUAUUGAUAUUUCUUGGGAACAAUAAAGAGGAAGAGGGAAGGAGGAAGAAGAGGGAAGGGGAGGGAAGGAGGGAAAGAGAGGGAGAGAGAGAAUCAGUACCGUUGCUUUGGAUCAGACUGAAGAACUUAGUAAGUACAAUAUCCAAAGUACCACACAACCAAGUUAUUGAAAGUGCAAAAAUAUUUAAAGUCACAUUAAUUUAAAGGCUACUCCUCUUUAAUACACUGCAUAUGAGCAAGUCCAGUUCAUAGAGGGACCAGGUUAAAAUUAAAUUUAUUUCAGUGGGCCGCCAAGACACUAGAAGGCCUUUCCCCCAGGCCAGAGAGCAAAUCACCAUGGGUUAGUUUAUCGACAGUACAAAGGAAGGAAGAGUUGAGGAACAUGGUACCUGGAAUGAGCAAGAAGCUGUGAUGUAUCCCAGAGCCAGGAUGCCACGGUUUGGUGGUGCUUCCUGCCUUCGCUGGGACAUCCAUGUGCUUCCAAAGCAAUUGCUCUAAAAAAGAUGUUGGCUGUUCCUUCUACUCAGCACCCCUGUACCUUCUGGAAACAAGAAGUCUUUACUGGGACAAGCAUUCCCUCCAGACUGCUGCUGAUCAAGUUGUACUACAAGAAGCUGUCAAUCAUGGCACUCCACACUCCCGUACACUAACGGUUCUUGCAUCUGGAUUAGCCAAUCACUACACACGUUCCCUUCCUCGCCUCGGUAUGAUGAUUGUCAGUCAGCACAUCUCCCGUGAUUUAAUUACUAGCUGGCAGAGAGGAGCUCUCUUUCCCCUCUGAGUAUGAGACAGUGGGGGCAUGAGUUUGUGACACCGUUCAUCCUGUUUACCUUGUAGCCAGCUGAGUGGA